rnacentral:rRNA from 1 species
GACGAACGCUGGCGGCGUGCCUAAUACAUGCAAGUCGAGCGAGGCUCUUCGGAGUCUAGCGGCGGACGGGUGAGUAACACGUGGGCAACCUGCCUGUAAGACUGGGAUAACACCGGGAAACCGGUGCUAAUACCGGAUAAUCCUUUUUCUCUCAUGAGGAAAAGCUGAAAGUCGGUUUCGGCUGACACUUACAGCUGGGCCCGCGGCGCAUUAGCUAGUUGGUGAGGUAACGGCUCACCAAGGCGACGAUGCGUAGCCGACCUGAGAGGGUGAUCGGCCACACUGGGACUGAGACACGGCCCAGACUCCUACGGGAGGCAGCAGUAGGGAAUCUUCCACAAUGGACGAAAGUCUGAUGGAGCAACGCCGCGUGAGCGAUGAAGGCCUUCGGGUCGUAAAGCUCUGUUGUUAGGGAAGAACAAGUAUCGGAGUCACUGCCGGUACCUUGACGGUACCUAACCAGAAAGCCACGGCUAACUACGUGCCAGCCGCCGCCGUAAGAC